rfam:Deltaproteobacteria bacterium RIFOXYD12_FTLL_56_24 rifoxyd3_full_scaffold_130, whole genome shotgun sequence.
CGCGGGGUGGAGCAGUUCGGUAGCUCGUCGGGCUCAUAACCCGAAGGUCGUUGGUUCAAAUCCAGCCCCCGCUA